rnacentral:rRNA from 1 species
UAGGGAAUCUUCGGCAAUGGACGGAAGUCUGACCGAGCAACGCCGCGUGAGUGAAGAAGGUUUUCGGAUCGUAAAGCUCUGUUGUUAGAGAAGAACGUUGGUGGGUGUGGAAAAUCUACCAAGUGACGGUAACUAACCAGAAAGGGACGGCUAACUACGUGCCAGCACCCGCGGUAAUACGUAGGUCCCGAGCGUUGUGCGGAUUUAUUGGGCGUAAAGCGAGCGCAGGCGGUUCUUUAAGUCUGAAGUUAAAGGCAGUGGCUUAACCAUUGUACGCUUUGGAAACUGGAGGACUUGAGUGCAGAAGGGGAGAGGGGAAUUCCAUGUGUAGCGGUGAAAUGCGUAGAUAUAUGGAGGCACACCGGUGGCGAAGGCGGCUCUCUAGUCUGUAACUGACGCUGAGGCUCGAAAGCGUGGGGAGCAAACAGG